rnacentral:miRNA from 1 species
CCUCACCACCCCUUCUGCCUGCA